UCCCUGGUGGUCCAGUGGUUAAGACUCUGCAUCCCCAAUGCAGGGGAUGCAGGUUUGAUCCCUUGUCAGGGAC
rnacentral:tRNA from 1 species